rnacentral:rRNA from 1 species
UACGUAGGGUGCAAGCGUUAUCCGGAAUUAUUGGGCGUAAAGAGCUCGUAGGCGGUUUGUCGCGUCUGCUGUGAAAGACCGGGGCUUAACUUCGGAAAGGCAGUGGAAACUGAACAGCUAGAGUAUGGUAGGGGCAGAGGGAAUUCCUGGUGUAGCGGUGAAAUGCGUAGAUAUCGGGAGGAACACCAAUGGCGAAGGCAGCUCGCUGGGACGGUACUGACGCUGAGACGCGAAAGCGUGGGGAGCAAACAGG